AAACUUUCAGCAAUGGAUGUUCU
rnacentral:rRNA from 1 species